CGGGAUCUCACAGGAUUCUGGCAUCUCCAACAUCUUGGGAUCUCCAACACAAUCCAGGCUUGGCUCUCACAACUUCAUGUAUGGUUUCUCUGGGCUUCCAUGCAGGAACUCCCCUGCCACACACCUGGCCUCAGAGGCUUUUCUGAACUGCAGAGGAAGAUUCCACAAUUCCUUUACUCCUGUAUCCCUCAGGACUCUAAGCCAGAACUACCUGGCCAAUGCCGCCAACUUCAGCCACUUCAGUUGGAACCUGUUCCCUUCUUGAAUUACAUUUGCAUAACAUUUUUUUCCCUGUUGCAGCUUUUUGCAGAAAAUUCCUUAGGCAUUUCCUUUUUACAAAUAGAAUUAGCUGUUGGUGGGGUCUUGCUCUGAGGACAACCCUCCCUUUAUUCCAUUUUUCCUCAGCUCUCAGCCCUCUCCUUAUCUCUUUCAGUACAAACAUUAAGCUUCACAGCACCUUGUCUCCUCCUCCACUGUCCAUUUUGUGCAUUUUCCUUUUGUCCUACUUGUUACCUUUCACUGCAGUCCUACAUAAGAAUGAUUACUAACAGUCAUGCAACAGAGUUAAUAUUACGCUGUCUUAAAAUCUGCUCUGCCAAUAAAAUUAGUCCAAAAAGUCUCAAUUUAGUUCCAGGAAGAUUUUUUAGAAUAAGGGCUGAAAGCAUCAAUAUUCUUUGCCAAAAUAUCAAAACAGGUUUCUAACACUUGGUAAUAUUGUUCUCUGAAACUUCUUGAACUGAGCAUCCAUAAUCCACAUGGAUCUCAGCACCACUGUUCUCCAUUCCUAUAAGAAUGGUCCACUUAACCUUGCUUACAGUACUCAACAGCUUUCCUAAUCCAAUGUCCCGUCUUCCAUAUUCAUCCCAAACCAGCAUGAUCAGGUCUGUCACAGUAACAUCCUAUUUCUCAGUUCCAUCUUUUGUUUUACUUACUUUUCUGUUUUCAUGACAAAAUGCCAUGACCAAGGCAACUUAUAAAAAAGAAAGUAUUUAAUUUUGGUCUCAUGGAUGCAGAGCAUCAGAGUCCAUGACCAUUAUGGGAAUGGGACAUGGCAGCAGACAGCAGGCAGCAGGCAUGGUGCUGGAGCAGCAGCUAAGACCUUAUAUUCAUAUCCCAAGUAGGGAGCAGUGAAGACUAAUUGGGAAUGGCCCCGGUUUUUGAAACCUCAAAGCCCACCCUCAAUGACACAUCUCUUCCAACAAGGCCACACCUUUCAAUCCUUCCCAUAUAGUUCUACCAACUGGGGACCAAAUAUUCAAGCAUAUGAACUUAUGGGUCACAUUAUCAUUAAACCACCACAGAAUCCCUUUUAACAGUCUAGCAACCAACCAGUCAUACAAAUAAAACAAUGAUAUGGAGAUUAGACCAGGCAGAGACAAAGUUAUAAGACCUGUAGAAUAGGAGAGAAAAUAUUAACAUAGAUCUAACUGAAGAUCUUCAAGGAGAAAAAGACAGAAACAGAGGCAACAGUUAAGAAAUAAUAUAUAUGAACUUGGCAAAACUGAGAAGAAACAUGGAUCCAUAAAUCCUAUAGGUUCAAUAUUACUUAGGCUCAGGCUUAGAUUAGAUAAUAAAACACAUCUAUACUAAAUUCACCAAAGAUGACAAAGACAAGGGACAUAUUUAGUGAAGUCAGAGAAGGAAGCAUUCACUUACAAAAUAGGGCAGACAAGACAGUUCAGUUCAGGAACUUGUAGUGCUGGCCUGUUGACUCAUGGUCAGUGUCUGGAACCCAUAUAAAGGUAGCAGGAGAGAACUGACUCCACAGAGGGAUCCUUUUACCUCCCCACAAGUGCUGUGGCACACACGAUUGCACACACACACAACACACACAAAACACAAAGUAGUCACACACAUGCAUGUGUGCACACACAAGCACACCCAUAAUCACACACAUACAUAACCGCACACAUAUACACAAGUAAUUGAUUUAAAACAUAAUAGUAAAAGAAAAAUUUAGCAUUUUCUUAGAGUGUCCAUUGCUAUGAAAAGACACCGUGAACAAGGCAACUCAUAAUAAAACAUUUAAUUAGGGCUGGCUUACAGUUUCAAAGGUUCAAUCAAUUAUCAUCUUGGCAGGAAGCAUGGGAACAUCCAGGCAGGCAUGACGCUGGCGAAGCUGAGAGUUCUACAUCUUGUUCCAAAGACAAAUAGGAGAAGACUAGAAUCCAGGAAGCUAGGAGGAAGGUCCCUCAAAGUCCACUCAUAAAGUGACACACUUCCUCCAACAAGGCCAUACUUUCUAAUAGUGCCACUUCCUGGACCAAGCAUAUGUAAACCACCACAAGCAUCAAUAAUUGAAACUAGAAUUAUAAGGCAAAUAUUGUCAAAGUGUUGAAAGAAAGUAACUAUUAACUUGAAAAACUCUACUCUGGGGAAUCGUUCUUUAAGAAUUGGGUUUAUGUCCGGAGAGUUGACUUGUUGGUUAAAAGCAUUGACUGCUCUUCCAAAGGACCUAGGUUCAAUUUCCUGUACCCACAUGGUGGCUUACAAAUGUUUGUAAUUCCAGUUCCAGGGAUCUGACACCCUCUUCUGACCUCCAUAGGCAUUGGGCAUGCACAUGGUGCAUGUACAUACAUGUAGACAAAAUACAUACAAAAGUAAUAUCAUGAUAAUAAUAGGUUAUUAUUAGGUAUUAAUAUUAUUAUUAAUAUGUCACUGCUGGGCAGUGGUGAUGCACAUCUUUAAUACCAGCACUUAGGAGGCAGAGGGAGAUGGAUCUUUGAGUUAGAGGCCAGUCUGGCCUACAGAAUGAGUUCCAGGACAGCCAGGGCUACACAGAGAAACCUGUCUC
rnacentral:lncRNA from 1 species